CGCAGACGCUGGAUAUAUCCGGUGCAUGCUGGACUGUUGCGCAGGUUGUAUAGUACCAAAAGGCCAAUAUAGAUGACACGGUCAAUCCGGACACGCGUGGUAAAUUUUCGCUUCAGUGUAGCUCUCUUUUGAUCUGAAAACUCGAUGCUGUAUGGACUCGAGGAAGUCUCAUUCUUCUGUCAUCCCGCCUUCCUGGCCCUCCUCUGCACAGUGUUUACUUUAUCUCCCAUGUUACCCAUGGGUGUUGCGUCAGCGAGGAUCCAGGUGCGUUUUCAAAAUCAGUAUAUGUUAGCGAGUCCCCACGCUGUCGCACUUGUCUCCAGUUUGGAAUGGGAGGGGUAAGAAUGCUGUGGACCGUCAGUUUCUGCAGCCGCUUUCUAGGGUGUACGUGCCGGAAUGUUUUUCUUUCCGUGUAAAUGGAAGGCGCAAAGCAGUCAGCGUAUCCUUGGUUUUCCCAUCUCAGGAGCGAGUCCUCCUGAAGGUACAAAUGACUCGACGGUUUCCCGUAAUGCGAAGGCUUCUUGACCACCCUAAAAGUUGCAGGGAUAUUAUUGUUCACAUGUGUCUUGAAACGCAUCGUUUAACGUCCGGUUCCAGAGACAGGUAAUUCCUUGGGAUUCAACUGUGUGAGGAGCCCGUCCACAGAAAAUGCCCAUGUCACCACGGUCAGGAACUUCCAUGUGCACAGGGAGCUGAGGGGCCUGCGAAUGUACCCACGGUGCCAGC
rnacentral:lncRNA from 1 species